rnacentral:rRNA from 1 species
UACAGAGGUCUCGAGCGUUAAUCGGAGUCACUGGGCUUAAAGCGUGUGUAGGCGGACUUCUAAGUACCUUGUGAAAUCCCACGGCUUACCCGUGGAAUUGCUGGGUAUACUGGUUGUCUUGAGCCACUUAGGGGCUACCGGAACAAAUGGUGGAGCGGUGAAAUGCGUAGAUAUCAUUUGGAACGCCAAUGGUGAAAACAGGUAGCUGGGAGUGUGCUGACGCUGAGACACGAAAGCCAGGGGAGCGAACGGG